CUCCCUGUUAUUCCCUUAUGGAGACCAGCAGAAUCCCGAGUAUUUUUCAGUCUGAACAUUUUCGUACACAACCAUAAAGAACAAACUCAAACAAAGGACUGAUGGUGAAGAACUGUGCAGCUGUAACCUGGGUGAACACGUCUGCAAAAUGGAGGCAGGGUAAGCAUGAGACCAAAGCUGCCAUGGGCUUUUCUUUUGUUAGGGAACUGCCGUUUGAACUGGAUGUGUGAAAGCCAGGAAGUAGCACAUAUGGGCAGAGAUCCCAUUUGUCUUACAGUGAUGGUUAGGAUGCUCUGGUGCUGUUUUGGUGACAAGAUUUUGUCUUAGGGCCUAAUUUUAGCUCAGGAGCCAAUAUCUGAACGCGUGGCUAUGGCAUCUACACCACAAAUGUAGUUCUGCAUGGCUUUGGUCCUCUCAGCAUUCUGAUUAUCUUCGGCAACCCAAGUUCAACUCUAUUACCUCCUUUGAAAGAAAACACUUGUGGCAGUUGUUCAGCCACAGGAAUUAGCAGUGAAGGUACUCCCCUUUGGCUGCUGAUGAGCACUGGUUGGACGUGCAGAUGGUCUGCUCGGUGACCUGGGCCAGAACCCUUGGUUUGUGAAGUGGGAUUCUAAAAGUGGAUUGUGACAAGAGUACAAGCAAAGAGCCACCACCCUGCAGUUGCCGGUGUGCCUCAGUUCUCCCUUCUGGAGAGGAACAGAUGCUGCUUGGAAGCUCUUUAACAUCUUUUCCAAAUCUGUACCACUGGGUGCAGAAGAAAACCCUGUAAUUUCCUACAGUUUAUUCUGCAGCUGUUCAGGUAGGAUUACCAAUAACAAUUCUACCAGAAAUGUCAGUGCUCUCUGUCCAACAGGCAUUUCCUGCAAAAGCCUGAUACUUCUGAGUGGAAGUUCUUUCUUCUUUUUCUCCCUUGGGAAUGAAAUAAACAACACAUCCCUGCUGAAGAGAGCCAUGAAACCUCCAUGUUCCAUAUCCAAUACUGAAGAAAGAGCUUUAUUUCAGACUCGAUCUUCAGCUGAUAUAGAGUAGUGAAUCCACAGAUUUCAGCCCUUGCUCUGCUUUACUUGCUCUGCUUACUUAUUUGAGCUGAAAAAUCAAUUGUGGUUAAGCAGCCAGCAAAACAAAUAAUUGUUCUCUCACUUGCAGCAUAUUUGAGAGUCAGCAAUGUUGGACAGCAUCAAACACC
ensembl:lncRNA